GCCACUAUUAGAGAGAUACCGCCAGUAAAAUACCAAUACCUUAUCAUUAAUUGCUGUUAAGUGGGCCUUUGAAACGUCGAUUUUAUCCUUUUAACUAAAACACAUAACCCAUCAUAUUUUACACAAAGCCCUCAAUACCUCUCACCAUCACCAUGGGUUUGAGAAGAGCAAAUCCCUUCUCCUCUUCUCCACCCCUGCGCUCACCUUCUCCAUUCUCCAAGAACUGCACAAAUGCCGCCAAGUGUGAUCCAUCCUAGGCCACGCUUCUCAUAGCUGAGUGUGCUACAUCCUUGCCCAACCGAAUGUGCAUUUCUCAGUUUUUUUGGAUUUCCUCAUGCCCUUUAAUGAGGAACAUCUCAGCUUCUUCUAUGCACAGUUCGAGGUCAGGGACCACAAGAAGCAGGGCAGUUAGUGUGUCAGAUUCUCCCCUUGCCACAAGCAGCAAUGCCAGUUCAGAGCAGAGCAUCAAUAACAUUGCCCUUUGCUUAGAUGUUAGUGAAGUAGAUGAUGAUCUUGGUUGUGAAAGAGGUGGUCGAUCUUCUCCUGCUAGUCACCAUGGUCGGUGAUGGUUUGGCAAUGGUUUUGUGCACUGUCUAAAGGUUAUUGGGUAGGUUCGCUGAUAAAUUAUAGUUUUCAUCAUUGGCUUUUGUACCAUGAGGGAACCUGUCUCGAUUCGGAGAAGAUGCAGCGCAUAUAUCGGGUGCUGAGAAGAAACUUGUUUCGCCUGCAGAGAAGAAGCACAUAGGGGUUAGGGUUGAGAAGAAGGAAAGAAUGAUUUAGAGAGGAAGCACAGACAUGUCUCGAUAUGGGGAAGAAGCAGCUCAGACCCCCUUCUCCCGUCACCACUCGUUGCCGAUUUGUAGCCGUUGCCGCUGCUCUUCAUGGAGAGAAAAGGGUUCGGGAAUGAGGGAGCACAAUAUUGAUGUGGGGAUUAAGGAGGUCUUUUUUGGAUUGGGGUUAGGGGUUAAGAGAGGAUAUACUAGGUACUUCAGUUUUUGAAAGAGUAUUUUGGUAUUUAGAAAAAUUAUACCAAAUGAUAUUAGCAUUUAAGAUAUAUUUCGUAACAACGGCUGACGACAAGGUUGUGAGCGUAAUUUUAUAUGCAGGGUGUGUCUUUCUAAUAGUGGCAUUUUCUAAGAGGUGGCACUGUAAAUUUUCCUUACUGAUUAUUUCAAGUUCAAAUUCAAAAGAGAGUUCAUUGAAAGAAAGAGAAGAUUAUCUUAAGAUAGCUACCAAUUCGGGUAGUAGAUUUGUUGC